rnacentral:rRNA from 1 species
UACGAAGGGGGCUAGCGUUGUUCGGAAUCACUGGGCGUAAAGCGCACGUAGGCGGCUUGUUAAGUCAGAGGUGAAAGCCUGGAGCUCAACUCCAGAACUGCCUUUGAUACUGGCAGGCUCGAGUAUGACAGAGGUUGGUGGAACUGCGAGUGUAGAGGUGAAAUUCGUAGAUAUUCGCAAGAACACCAGUGGCGAAGGCGGCCAACUGGGUCAUGACUGACGCUGAGGUGCGAAGGCGUGGGGAGCAAACAGG